rnacentral:rRNA from 1 species
UUUAUGAGUUUGAUCCUGGCUCAGAAUGAACGCUAAUAGUAUGCUUUACACAUGCAAGUUAUACCAAUAAGUUUGGUAGCAAACGGGUGAGUACUUUAUAAAGAAAAUAUGAUAUUUUUUACCUUUUAGUCUUGGAUAUGUAUAUAAAUAAUAUUAAAAAAAUCACUUUAUUAUUUAUAAAAAAUACGAGAUAACAACUUAAGCUAAAGUAAUUUAAAAAAUAAAAAGACUCCCCCCAGAAGUAAGUUUAUUUCUUAAAAAUGUUUGCGCUAAAGUGUGAUUUAAAAAAUUUAAAAAAUAAAUACCUGGCUUCACCACUAGGAUUACAUUUUAUUUUUGAAAAUUGCUAAAAGAUAACUUUAUAAAAAAUUAGGUAGUUGGUUGUGAUUAAAAGCGCACCAAGCCCUUGAUUUUUAGUUGGUCUGAGAGGAUGAUCAACCACACUGGAACUGAGAAAAGGUCCAGGCCGUAUUGGCCAGCAGUGAGGAAUAUUGGACAAUGAACGAAAGUUUGAUCCAGCAAUACUAUAUGAACGAUGACAGCUGUUAAUAGAGUUUUUAUUAAAUAAAAACUCUGGUUGUAAAACUUUUUUCGUUAAAGAUGAUAAUGACAUUAUAUUAAAGAAGAUUUAGUCCCGGCUAAUCUCGUGCCAGCAGCCGCGGUAAUACGAAGGGGGCUAGCGUUGUUCGGAAUUACUGGGCGUAAAGCGCACGUAGG